rnacentral:rRNA from 1 species
AGGAGAGUUUGAUCCUGGCUCAGGACGAACGCUGGCGGCGUGCCUAACACAUGCAAGUCGAACGGAACUACUAGGAAGGAUCUCUUCGGAGAAACGGAAUUUUAGUUUAGUGGCGGACGGGUGAGUAACGCGUGAGUAACCUGCCUUUGAGAGGGGAAUAACGUUCUGAAAAGAACGCUAAUACCGCAUAACAUAUACUGAUCGCAUGGUCGGUAUAUCAAAGAUUUUAUCGCUCAAAGAUGGACUCGCGUCCGAUUAGCUUGUUGGCGGGGUAACGGCCCACCAAGGCGACGAUCGGUAGCCGGACUGAGAGGUUGAACGGCCACAUUGGGACUGAGACACGGCCCAGACUCCUACGGGAGGCAGCAGUGGGGGAUAUUGCGCAAUGGGGGCAACCCUGACGCAGCAACGCCGCGUGAAGGAUGAAGGUUUUCGGAUUGUAAACUUCUUUUGUCAGGGACGAAAUCUGACGGUACCUGACGAAUAAGCUCCGGCUAACUACGUGCCAGCAGCCGCGGUAAUACGUAGGGAGCAAGCGUUGUCCGGAUUUACUGGGCGUAAAGGGUGCGUAGGCGGCUAUGCAAGUCAGAUGUGAAAUCUAUGGGCUCAACCCAUAAACUGCAUUUGAAACUGCAUAGCUUGAGUGAAGUAGAGGCAGGCGGAAUUCCCCGUGUAGCGGUGAAAUGCGUAGAGAUGGGGAGGAACACCAGUGGCGAAGGCGGCCUGCUGGGCUUUAACUGACGCUGAGGCACGAAAGCGUGGGUAGCAAACAGGAUUAGAUACCCUGGUAGUCCCCU